UAUCAACUUGUUUAACAUUACAAAAAUAGGCACAUAAUUCUUCAGAGUAUAUAAUAUAUCUACAUAAAAUUCAGAGAUAAUAUAAUAAUAUUAUAAACAUGUAUAUUUGGGCACAAACUUAGUAAAAUAGUAUUAAACAUUAUAUUAUUAUUGGUAGCUGUGUUGGAGGUCGUCACAAAAUUUGGAAUAUAAUACUAUCAUUGAUUAUACAAUAGUCAGAUAGACCAUGCUACAGGAAUAUUUGGCUAAUAAUCGUAGAAUUCAGCCAAUGUGGAACGCUAAAGCCGUUUGUAAUGGAACCAAUAGCAAUGAGUUUAAUGGCCGAUGAGGCUUCGUCCUACCGAUGAUAGCUAAAUAUUUAUAUUGCAUUAGCUAUCUAUUGAAUAAUCAAUGAUAUAAUAUAGUAAUAAUAUAAGCUUAAUUAAAGGUCUUGCGAUCAGAUUUCUUUUUAAAAUAAAACAAACAUAGCAGGAUUCAACACUCACAUUUACAUACAAUUUUACAAGGACUUAAAUUUACAUUAUAAUUGUAUUAUUUUAUAUGUGACACAAUCGUUAUAAUUUAUAGGUGUAAUAAAGAACAAACAGUCUUAAUAUUAUUAAAUGAGUUUAAAUUGUAGAGUUAGUAAAACAUAUUAUUAUAAUAUUCGCUCAAAAAUUAAAAAAAUAAUAAUAAUUUUUUUCGACUGAAUAUUUCCAAAGCUCGUCUUCUUUUAAAAAAAAUUAUAUAUAUAUAUACAUACAUACUUAUUAUUAUUGCUAUGUUAAUUUAUUUUUUAAUCACUCGAUGAACAAUUAUUGUAUUACAAGUUUAAAUUUAACACGUAGAAGAAAUACAGUUUUAAUAUAAUAAAAUAAUAUUCCAACUUUACAGUUGAGCAAAUUUAACUAAACAUAUUAUGUAAUAAAAUAAUUAGACACCAUUGUGUACCUAUAUUAUGUAUAAAACGUACAAU